AAGAAGAAGACAAAACAAAAAUCUUGACGUACACUACCUGCUCUCUCAACUCGCAACGUAAACAUCUUACUUUCAACAAAACAAAAAGUGACUGUAAUGUGUAUUGUAUGAAAACCAAUUACUUCUGGCAACAUUUCGACAAUAAAACAUUCCAAGCACCAAUUCAGUUCAAUUAGAAAAGAAAAUGUUUUCCAAGAAGAAUUGUCCCAUUCAAGAACAAAUUUCAAAUGCGAAUGAUACCAUUGAACAACUCAUGCUGAGAAUCGAACUACUGGAGACCAGUUUGAAGUCUCCAAAUCUUAUGGACGAUAAGCGUAAAAUAAUGGAAACCGAAAUCAACGAAAUCAAAAAACUUUUGAGCACCAACAAGGAUCUGCUAGCCGAUUUACACAAGGAAAACUCCAAGUCAUUCGCCUUGACUGCCAGCCUUGUGUUUGCAUGCUUCUUAAUAUAUGGUGUGUAUGUGAUGAUCUAUGGAGCGUAGAUUACAACGUAUUAUGAAUGUCGAAAAUUGUGUGGAAGGAUGUCAUUAGAUGAAAUACAUAUGAGUCAGA